GGAAAGUGAAGCGCACUGGAAAAGGCGCGCUGGGAGGCGCCUUGUUGCCGCCUGCUCGCUCUCCAAUAGCAAGCAAGAGGGAACGACACUGUCGAGGGUCCUCAUCGCCGACCGUCGCACUCCAUCGGCACCGACCGUAGAAGGCAAAUGAACCUAGAAAGAGAAGCACACGAGAAUUUUGAAACUUACACAAACUGGCCGCCGCAAGGAGCCAUGGUCCCUAAAGCACAAUAUUGCCAUGAGCCCAAAUGCCUCUGAAUGACGCAGUAUCACCCACAAAUCUUAAAUAUGGAAGCUAAAACUAAAGUAAAGUCACACAUGCCCUCACAGGUAAAAGUUUCUAAAUCUUUCCAAGCAUUCAAGCUUAUUCAAUUAAUAUUCCAUAACCUUAUUUGAUGUCAUCAGUGGUCAAUUGAAGGUUACUUCCUUAGAAUCAUAGUUAUUAGUACUUAAUGUUAUUUCCACUUUGCAUGAUUUGGCUGUUAUGUAUACAAAACCAAGAUGAUGGUUGUUUGCUUUUGUUGAAAUACUGGAGAUUCUGGAGCAAUCAAGAUUUUUGAUAGGACUAGCUUAAUAUAUGUCCGUUUCCACGGACAGUUGUCCAGCUAUUGUUAUCAUGCUUUGUGUCAUGUCUUUGAAAGCUUUGCAAAAAAAUUGGAGAUGGUUCCACAUGUAAGAAAAUGAAAAAGAAUAUGUAUUCCCAUGGUCCUUAUGCUAUUCUCAAAGUCAUGUACAGAAGCCUAUUAUUCAAUAAAAUAGAAUUCCCAUUUCAAAUGCCUUUAUCAUUAUGUUUUUUACGUUUACUAUAUCAUACUCCACUCCAGUACCAGCGACAAUUAUUAUGGAUCGGAGGGAGUAUUAAUUUUAGUUUACAUCCAAAUCUGUCCUUCUCAACUACAAGUACGGGCGCGGCAACGCGUUCUUUUAUGGUCUGGUGUCCUACAAAGAAGAGAUGCUUGGAGUCUUCCCCAGACCUAACUUGUGAUAAAUUCAUUUAGACUUGUAGUUCUUGUUAAAUUCCAAUUGUUAUGUGUUAUAUAUCUUGUCAGUUCUCAUUUUGUUGACUGAAAAUCACAUCCUUUAGUAUGUAACUGUUAACGGGUACUUGGCAUUUCUACCAGGGCAACACCUACAUUAUCAAAGGAUGCAACAGUAACUACUGUUGCUACAUCUACUACCUUCUCACUUGACUAGUAAAACCAACAUAUCCAUCAAUUAAUUGUUCUAUGAAAUACAAAUAUCGAUCUGUAAGUACAAAAUUACAACAAAACUUUUGUGUUGUCAAGCUAACUUUACAUGAAUUUUUUUAUGAUGCCUACAUUUCCACAUGAUAAAUCUUCUUUGUUAAUCACUAAGUAUUCGUACAUCUACACAACUCGGACAGUAUAUUGUACAACUAUAUUUCUGAGAUUCAUCGUUGUCUUCUUGAUGAUUAUUUUUAAUUUUGUGCCAUGAAGAUAUCAUCGAAUGUGCAGAUAAUGCAAAGUAUCCAGCGAGGACACCCAAGGAUCUUAAAAAGAAUGCAACGCUGUAGUCCGAAAUUCCGACUUGCAGCACAAAUGUCGAUAGGUACUUACUAUUUCUUCUCCGCCUUAUGUAUAUACAAUUCCGCAGCACUAAUUAAUCUCUCUGGUAUAUAGGUAGUUCUUCUUUGAAUUUCACAUAGUUCAACGUCCUUUAUCUAGCUAGGUCACUUAGAAUAACUAUUUGUUCGAUUAUUUAGCUAUCUAGCUGAGUAUCUGGAUUAUGUAUAUGAGGUGACGGGAUAAGUGACCAAAAUUGUUUGAGAACUAAUAAUUCCUUCUAUUUAACAAGUUUCAAUCACUGUCACUGGAUCCCAAAUAAUGGAGAGCCACCAUCUCUUAUGGAGUAUCAUGCAGGAUCUGAGAACCACUUACAUUGAAUUUCAUAUUUUUUUUAAUGUUCUUUAGCUUAAUGUUUAAAGUGCUUCAAGGCACAGCAGGGCCUUAAACUCAAACAUUAACUUUACUACCUUUUGCUGGUAGAUUAAUAAUUGCAGAUUUUCGUUAUAAAAAUAGUUAGGUUUGGUAUUUCUUUCUCAAUGUGGGUGCAAUAGUCUUGUCUUGGUAUGAUUUGAUGUGCAGCUUCUCCAAGCAAGGGAAUGAUUUGAGGAAGACAAUAACUGCAUCAAGAUUAGGGCCACUAGACGUGAGAUGCAAAACCUUGACGCUGCGCAUCAGCAUUUUCAAGUUGCCAGCAACCAUUCCCUAAUAAUAGAGAAGGCAUACACAUUACAAAACAGGAUCAGAUACAACAUAUGAUGCAUAUUAUUGAAUCCCAGAUACAAGUUGGCCACAGCUACCUGAGAAGUCGCGGACCCAAGAUUGAGAUGCAAAACCUUGGCGCUGCGCAUCAGCGUUUUGGAGUUGCCAGCAACCAUUCCCUAAUAACAGAGAAGGCAUGCACAUUAUAAAACAGGAUCAGAUACACCAUAUGAUGUGCAGUAUUGCAUCCAAGAUACAAGUUGGCCAUAGCUACCUGAGAAGUCACAGACCCAAGAUUGAGUUGUGUAAAAUCGUCUGUCAUGGAGCCCAAGAUUUUGGUGCCUUGAUUAACUGGAUGACUGGCUCGGGGAGAACAACAGUUACGAGUCUUCUGACCAAUCUUUCUAGGCUAGGGGCAUUUUCUAUGACUAGUUGAGAGCAAUGCCGACAUCCACGGAUGACGAUUCUCCGAAGAGUCCCUGAAUUGGUGAGCAGGUACUCAAAGUCAAGCAGCAAGGUGUCGAGGACAGGGCAGCCAGCGAGCAGGCCUUGGAGGGUGUCUCCCCGUACGGAAAGGAGUUCCAUGGUGAGCUUUUCUAGGCAAGGGAAGUUAAACGACGGUGUGGUGUCGUCCUCAAAGAAGCUGCAAUUGCCGAAUCUGGCAAGUGGCAACGCGCAGGGUCGGCGCGAAGCGGAGCAAGGAUAUUGGCACUGGAGCGUCGUACUUCGGGAGCCAGAGUUCAAUCUCCUGGAGAUUUCGGAGAGCGGGGUACCUGAGCCAGCGGUCUGGAGUUAGGAUCGCUGAUUUGAAGACACGGAGGCUUAAGCGGCGUGCCGGGCCCUUGUGCUCGGAGAGGAUCUUGCCAUCUUGGACACGACGGUGAAGCGGUGGCAGCCACACCCGUUGAUAUCGGAAACGUGGUUGAGCGAGAGAUGCGCCACAGGUGACGCCACCGGCGGGAGAGGGCGGUGGUGCGCACGCCGUCGCCGAUGGAGAGGUGAGAGAUGAUGGUGUUGAGGAUCUCGACGGGGAGGGAGCUGAUCAGAUCGAUUUCCUCCAGCUUCCUCGCCUUCUUGGCAACGGGGACUUCCGGCGCCGCCACCAUGGCAGGUGGCUCGUGGGACGGCCGAGUGGUAGGGUUGGUUGAGGUGAUCUGUCCCGGGGAUAUAUUUUCGUGAGAGCAGAUGUCAAGCGUUUGAUUUAAUUGACAUGCCAGAUUAAUAGAUACCCAUUCGCGCACGUGUAGAAGUAAAAAGAGUAAAUUUCAAAGAAACACCGUAUUUGAGUCAUCCUUAUCACGGAACCACAGUUUGCGACAAUUUUCUUGCGAAACCACAGUUCUUGCGCCUAAUUUUCUCGGUUCAGCCAAAACACGAUUUGAAGCUCGUUUGACACGAUUUCUUACAAGUGGGGCCCACUCUCAGGUCGCAUCCAUUUUUACGUUAGGCCCUGCAUAAUUUCGUUCAUCUUUUCUUUGCGCCCAAAUCGCGCUUCAAAUUGUGUUUUGGACGAACCGAGAAAAUUAGGCGCAAGAAAUGUGGUUUUGUGAGAAAAUUAUCGCAAACUGUGGUUCUGUGAGAAGCAUGUCUCAAACUGUGAUUCCUUGAAAUUUACUCAAGUAUAAAAGGACCGUAUAUUAGCCACUUAAGAUAAUUUAGUUCUGAAAACACUGAAACCUAAAUUCGAUGACCAAAUAGCACAUGUUCCUAAGUUAAGGAACGGUGCGUGCAUUUUA